ACCCAACAUGUCCACACACACACACACACACACACACACCCACACUCACAUACACACACACACACACACACACACACUCACAUACACACACACCCACACCCACACAUACACCCACACACACACACACACACACACACACACACACACACACUCACAUACACACACACCCACACCCACACAUACACCCACACACACACACACACUCUCACAUACACCCACACACACACCCACACACAUACACACACACAGUGUUAUUGACAGUUUUUCUUAACGAUGGCAAGAUCCCACUUUGUUCCGAUACCGAUACUCGUUCAGUAUUGUUUUCUUUAAAAACUACUAAUCUUUAUGUAGCAGUACUUCCUACUUCUGAUGUAAGCUGGUAGGAGAGGGGCAUGAGUUUCAAUUACGCUCUCGGUUGGUGGAGUAUAAAAGCUACCAUAGUGACGUUAUACGUGUCUGUGUCUUCUUAGCGUAUUUCCGGUGUGGCGUGUGAACGCCCGAGAGGUAAGAGCUUCAUGUUGUUUGUGUCAUGCAGGGUUACAUGGGUUUGUUUCAUUAAAGGGUGUAUUGAGGAGCUUUGUGGAAUUCUUUCAGUGACAGCCGUCUCCAUGGAAACACGUGUAACACACCGUUGCGUUCCCUGGGCCAUGUGAGUCGCCAUUUAACAGCUGCAGAGGAUCAGUGUAUCCCCGUGUUGUGGUGGUGGGUCUCUUGCCUGAAUGCGGUGUUCACUGUGAGGUGUUGCGGGCUGUGGUGUGUGCACGUAUGAAUGCUGUGUCCAUUGGAUUAGGAGUGCCAAUCCCCAAUUCUGAAGCGAUGUGUUGAACAUCUGCUUUGCUCGGUUUGAGGUGCAAAAUGAUGUGACAGCGAGGAAGACCACCCCUCCUAACAACGGCCAGGUGCUGUGUCUAACCACGGCUGAUGUGAGCAAAACUCUCCACAGAUUCAACCCAUAGAAAGCUGCUGGACCAGACAAAAUUCCUGGCAGAGUGCUCAGAGAAUGUGCAGAUCAGCUAGCAGAUGUUCUCACUGACAUCUUCAACAUCUCCCCGUCUUUCGCUGUCGUUCCAACCUGCUGCAAGUCUUCAGUGUCCUGCCGCAAUGACUACUUUCCCAUUGCACUCACACCCAUCAUCAUGAAGUGCUCCGAGAGGCUCGUCAUGAGGCACAUCAAGACCCUGCUGUCCCCCUCACUGCACCCCCCCUGUAAUUCGUGUAUCGUCCUAAAUGCUCAACAGAUGUAGCCAUCGACACCACCCUACAUCUGGCCCUCAUCCCCCUGGACAAGAAGGACACCUACGUUCGAAUGCUGUUCAUAGACUUCAGUUCAGCAUUCAACACAAUCCUUCCUCAGCACCUGCUUGGAAAACUGAACCUACUGGGCCUGAACACCUCCAUCUACAACUGGAUCCUGAACUUCCUGACUGGGAGGCUUUAAUCAGUUUUUUUUUAUUGUGAACAUCAUCUCCAGCACCACCACACUCAGCACGGGGCCCCCCAGGGCUGUAUGCUCAGUCCACUGCUGUUCACUCUUCUGACUCACGACUGUACAGCAAUGCACAGCUCCAAUCACCUCAUCAAGUUCACAGAUGGUCGAUCUCAUCUGAAAGAUGAAAACAUUGUAAGAACGUAGAAAAAUGAAUAAAAAAGGGACUACCCUACAAUUGCUGAACACGAUCUCAAAACUGUGUCCUUUCCCCCUGUGAAAUAUGAACAUUUUAACAAGAUAUUUCAUAGGCUCCUACAGAUAAUCAUACAAUGUAUAUUUAAAAGUAGUUAAAAUAUAUCUAACAGAAUGGAAAGUGUUUAUUUUUUACAGCUUCAUGGUAUGUUUUACAAAUAGGAAAUCAAACCUCAGUGAGGAAAGAAAAUGUCCAUCUUCAACUGAUAUUAACUAAUAUUAACUAACGUAUUAACCAGGGCCGUUAGCUGGGCUGUGUAGGGAACCUAGCCAG